rnacentral:lncRNA from 1 species
AUAAAAAGAACAAGAUGGAUUAGAGAAGCAACAUUGUAUCUUUGUCUCCCAGCAUAAGAUCAGCACAAAAAAGGAGCAUGAGCGUUGUUGAGGUGGCUGCAACUGAGCCUAGGUGGUGUUAGUUUUAGUUUUAGUUUUGUCCUCCUCCCCUUGAGGACUGAGGAUAUCUACAUGAGACAAGUCAGUGGAUGCUACAAAACCAUAGUAGCCAAUGGCAAAUGUGGCUUGUAAAGCAAGUUUGGGAUUAUACAAGAUCUUCCAUCGUUCCUCCCUACUUAUGACAGGUGAUGGUGGUGUUCUAGGACAAGGACAAUGAGCUUUAGGUUGAAUUAGGCAAUCAGAAACAAAUGUGAGAUUAAGACCCAGUUUGACGGCUUUAACUAUAAGUGCCCUGAGAUAUGUAUCUCUUAGGCUUCUUCGACGACGAUGACGUUUCCGGAUCCAUCUCAUCAGCCCUCUUCUUCUUCUUCUUUGACAUUUUCAUAUCCAUCUCAGCUUCAAUGGAAGAGAGGGAAACCCUAUACCUAUCUAAGUGUAUUGAUUCUUCCUCCUCUUCCCGUGCUUUCAAUUUCAAUUUGAUUAAACCCUAAUUCUAAUCCCGUGUCUUGUUCUCACCACCAGCACCAAACGAACUCAUAAAUAUUACUAAUAGAGAUAACAUAUUUCAUUCACAAUUAAAUUACACUAGUUUUGUCACAAAAAAAAAUAAAAAAUUACACUAGUUUUAUUUCCGGCGCGGGGAAUUUUAUUUAAAUGUAAUUUGUAAAAUAAAAUCGUUGAUGAUAAUUGUUAGGAUCCUAAAAAUAAAAUUCUUAGUGUUGAUAUGAAGAUUGUAAUUGGAGCGCUGCCAGUGCGACUGAGAGUGGCGUAAACACUGGCGGUGUGGUCGAGGUGGGGCUCGCCAUGGCUGUAGUAGUUGAGGGUUUGGACUGCGCUUCCCCUAUGUUUGUGAUGACGACGACGGAGGAGAGGAAUCCGUUGAUGGAUCUGAUUUCAGAGAAAACUUUGGUUCAGGUAUACAGUUGUAUAACUUCUUGUGCGUGAAUUUGAGAAAUCUUGCAUAUUAGAUGUUCGAAAAAUGGCCAAGGUAGAAAGAAAUGUUAGCGUACUGUUAUGAUGUAGAUAUAUGUCUUGGAAUUUGCUUUGUAAUGUUAAAUUUAAGGGGUUUCAGAUUUCAGAGUUCAAUUUCAUUUUCAAGAUUAAGUUUGAAACCCCUAACCUAAUAUUCUGGAAAGCGUUUCUUUCUGUUCAGUGUUGGUACCAAAUUUUAUUGUCCACAUCUUGUAAUCAAAUUUGUAUGAAUAUGUAACCAAGAUGAUAUGGAUUUUUUUGUUAACUCACUUGCAGCUGCACAAUUCCUUGUCUGUCAUGAUGUAGAUAUAUGUCUUGGAAUUUGAUCUGUAAUGUUUUUCAAGUACAAUACACAAGUAUUGAGCUUGGCAAAGCCUUUGCCAGAUUUUUAGGUUCAAGUAUUGAAACGGUAUUCAUUUGUUAUCAAUAAUAAUGCAGCAAAAAACAGAGCAAAUAGCAUAAGAAAUUUGCUACGAAGAGUGAGCCUUGGUACUUCUGGAUCUGUUUUUGUAAAUUGAGGAUUUUGUAUUUCAUGUUUUGUUGAACUUUGGUGGAGUAGUGUGUUGUAAGAUAAACCAUGUAACUUACCCUUGUACCUUUUUCUCAGUUUUUACUGUGAACAUAAAGUAGAAAUUUUGUAGUUAGAACUUCAAAUAAAUAAAAGUAAAAUAGAUACGAUACCAUACAUACCCAAGUAUACCAGCUUAUUCUCUUAUCAUGUCUAUCGUGAAUUCAAAUGUGUAUUCUACAUUCCUACAUGCAUAUGUAUAUAUCUCCCCACUGUAUUUUUGAUACUUUCUUGCCAUGAAGGCUCAAUUUGGACCUUCCCUACAUAUAGAAACUAGCCCUUUUACUUUUAAUAGGUUCAAUUAAUUAAUCAAAUAGCAUUUUAUGAAAACUUUGUGUUAAAUUAUGCUUUUAUGGACACUUUCCUGAAAAUAGCUCUGACCCUUGACCACAAUUUUUGAAUUUUCUUCUCAUUUCCUUAAUAUAUAGUAGCUGCUGUAAAUUUUUAUGCAAUGGCAGGCCCUUUUUGGUCAUCCUUGGACCUCACUUUUUGAAUGUUAAAAGAAAACUGAUUAUUAUGUCUCCUUGAUUAAUAUGUUUUUGACAAUUGGCUAGGGAGCUAAAUUGCCGGUGAGUUGGCGGGGGUUCUCACACCUUCAUUUCAACUCCUUCUCCUGCAUCUAUAAACUGUUUUUGGUGAGUUUGGUACUAAAUUAUUUGGUAAUACUGAUGUGGUGUGGUGAAUUUCGAUUGCAGAUUACUUCCUAUGCUUCUUGAACAUGUAGAUAACAUGUGUUUUUGAAAGAUUCUUUCAUUUAUUUAAAAUAUUGAAGUUCAUAUCAUUGUUUGUGCAAUCCUACAAGGUAUAAAUAUUAUGUGACCAUGUAGAUUUCAUGUUUUUCUAGGUGAACUUGUCCUGUUGGCUUGUGUCAUAUUGGUUGGACUGUUUUCUCUCCAACAUUGUGGCACGCACAAAGUUGCUUUCAUGUUAGCACCAAAACGAGGAUUGUGAGUUUCUCCUCUAUUCUUUUUCUUUCAGUCAUUUUUGUUUUCUUUGUUCAUCAGGAUAUGUAAGUAGUCUUUGUUUUCCAUUGCUUGCAUUUACACCAUUUAAUCCCCUUACCAGGUGCCCAUUUUUUAUGAAUAUUGAUCAUCACUUGAGGAUUCAGAUUUAUAUUUAAACUAAGUAGAAGACUUCAGCUGAUUAGUGCAUUUAGCUCCAUUAUUUUAAAUUUCCAGUUAAUCCUUUUGUUAGUGGCUUUCUAGUUUCCCCUUAUGGUAUGGCUACAGAGGUAUGUUUGUUUCUGAGAAUACUUACUACAUUGUUUAACUCAAAUAACAUAGUUCGACUGUCUGGUUUGCGCAGCAAAGCCACUGAGCUGAUUUCUUACCUGCUCGUAUCUUUUACACCUCACGACAUUAUGAUUUCUGUUACCAGCCAAAUCACUACCUUUGUUAUUCUCUUUUUCUGAUAUGAAACCCAAAUGUAAAAGUACAAUCCUAAAGCAAUUUAUUAGAAGAAAGCCUAUCAUUAGUUCUGUUAGAAACAUAGCAGUUAAAUGAUUUGCACUGCAGCUUGAUUUAAACUGCUGCAAGGUUCAUAUACGGUAUACUUGCAUAUCUGUGUUCUUUUCAGUUGUCCCUAUUUAGUUGAUUCAGAAAAUGACAUUGACAUUGAUCAUUCUUUGUGUUAUAGAAUGUCACAGACAUUGAUCAUUUGGGCUAAUCUUUUCUAUUUUGCAGUUUUUUGUUUUCUUUUUGUGGUUGGUUGCAUUUACUUGUUCUGUUCUAUCGCCUACCGGUUAAGUCAAGUCUCUCAUUGGCAUCCUACUUUCACAUUUGUUUGUAGUGUUUGCUGCAACUUACAUAAUUUCUCAAUGUUUAAUUAAAAUAACCACAUUAAUGUUUUAUGAGACUAAGAUUGGAAUGCUUAUUAAUCAAAAUAUGAUUGGUUUAAAUGUCCUAAUCCUUACACGUGCAAUACUCAGAAGUUCAGUAUACUGACAUUUUUUUUUUUAUUGUUUGUGAUCUGCAAGGAAUUUUUUGUUUUUGUUUUUGAAAAUCACCACUUCUUGAUUGAAGAAACAGACCAAUACAGAAAGAUGGCCGCUCCAUGGGGUUUGAGGCAUCCCCCACCCAUGUACGUAAACCAAUCAUUUUAGCUGCUUGGGCUAAUCUAUGAGCAGCAGAGUUACAUGAACGACUAACAACACAAAUAGAACAAUUUGCUAAACUAGAAAACAACUCUUUGCAAUCAACUAUAAAGUGAUCAAUACUUGUUAGAGAGAGGAGAUCCUUGAAACAGUCCACCACCAAUGAAGCAUCCAUUUCAAAUAUGAUAUUACUGAGGUUCAAAUCCCUUGCUAUUUGAAGUCCCCAAUGCAGUCCUAAUGCUUCUGCAACAACAGCUUCAGUCACAAACUCAGUCUUCUUUGUGGCAGCAAACGCUACUUCUGCAUUAUGGUUCCUAAUAACCAGUCCCCAGCUGACUUGACCCAUCGGACCCCAACCGGCAUCGACAUUUAACUUGAAAAAAUCUGGUGGAGGAGCCACCCAGUCACAGCGGGGCCGCUGUCCAGUCGACUGCUCCCUAGGAGUGGAUCCUUCAGAAAAUCCAGACACAAAAUUUUGGGCAGCAAAAGAGACUCUAAUUGGAUCGAAUGCCAAAUUUUGAAAAUUGUUUGAUUCCUAAAGAACCAAAUAUUCCAUAGUGUUGUACAAAAAAGUUGGAUCGCGAAAGGCUCCUUACAAUUAAGCCACUGUGUAAACCAGAUAACAAAAUCAGAAUGAGGAGGGGGUCUGACCCCUAAAGGGGAAGCGAGCCACACUUGUUUGAUAAGAGGACAAUGAAGGAAAAGGUGUUCUGUGCUCUCCAAACCAUUAAAGCAAAGUGGGCAAACAGGAUCAAGAGGAACUCGCCUUCUCAAGAGAUUGCCUCUGGUUGGCCUCUGCAAGGAAGUUAAUAGAUAAACAAAGUCAUUGAUAUCAAGGUUAGCAUUUUCUCUGGCCUCUUUAUGUUUCUGCAUUAUGUCAUACAUAAAUAUGUUCCACUCAUAAUUAGUUUACUUGUUCGUUUGGAUUUGGAUUUGGAUUCCAUAAUCAAGAGAUCUGGAAAAGGCUGACCUUGGAUUUGGUUCACUGUGACACUUUUGGCAGCUAAUCUUCAUUUUGGCAGUUAAAUAGCUACACUUUUUGGUAGGCAAACUUCUAUAUUCGCCGACACUUUUUGGCUGUUAAGUAGCAGCUUUUCUCUAGCUAAACUGUUCUGCUAAUCUGCUAGGUUCUUUGUAAUAUUGUGCCAGCUAAAAUUCAGAUAUCUUGAUGAGAAAUGUCAAUUGGCUACAGUUUCUAAUGUAGCUAAUAACAUGAAAAAAUGUUAAAAAAAGGUGAAUUGGUUACUUUUUUUAAAUGCAGCUAAUAGCAUGAAAAAGUGUUACUAUAAGAUUUUAACGACAUAGGGUAUAUACUGCAUUUGGAAAAGUGUCACUAAAAGCAACAACGACAUUUGAAUGUGAUUUAGUUACACUUGUUAAAUAUAACUAAAUCUCUUAUGUGUAGUAGUUUGCACAUGUGUAUUUGACUUGUUUGGUUUCUUUAUAAUUAUGGCUACCGCUUGUGCUUUGAAAUCUAACUCUUCUGGUACUAUUGGAGAAUGGACCAUUCCAAUUUCUAGGGAAAUUGGAUCCUCCAAAAGUAGGAUGUGAUUCUUACUCUUUUCAGUGAUGAUUCCAAGAAACUAGUAGUUUGAGCCCUUUUUUUUUGUGUGUGUGUGGGUGUGGGGGUGGUUCUUGGGGGCAGUAUCGUUCUGCAUAAUUAUUAAUGCAGCAUAGUAAUAUAUAACCCCUGAGAGCACAAAUGCUACUGUGGGUGCAAACAUAGAGGACCCCUUUAUUUAGUACCUCUGAUCUCUGAUCUUUGACAUUCAGAUCUAUGCAUAUGUGGUUUUUAGGGAGUAAGGACUGGGUUUUGUUUUUUUAGGAUUUGCCUUUUUCUGUUUUGUUGGAUUUGGGCAGCCACAGGAAGGCUGUCAUGUUUGAGAGGGUAAUUGUUGAUGGAGCUUCCAGUUCCGGAAUUGCCAUUGCAUCCUAAGAAUAGAUAAAACAUUCACUGGAAUGUAGGGCUCCUUCAAAUGCUUCCCAUAAUUCUGUUACUCACAACUUGUGUUGAUCCGGUCAGCUCCAUUUCAAGGGUUUUUAUUUGAAUUUUGAUCAUCAAUGCAAAUUUGACUGCCAUGCAUCCACCUCGUAGCUAUAGCUAUUAUCCAUUUUGACACUUAUCUCAUCUUAUCUGUCAAGUGCUCGAAUUUUGUUUAUUUCAUCUGAGUUGUGAAGAAUAGGGUGGAGAAAUAUGUUGUUCUAGUAAAAAAGAGUGAACACUUCUUUCUUUGGGAAUUAUUAAAAUGAAUUUCAUCAUUUUUUAUGUAGUCACACCAUGCCUUCAGAAUAUCUGGGUCAUACCUAAUUGACUGUCUAAGUUUGAGGUUUUCCUUUUAAGUUUUGAUCUGUCUGUACAUAAACCUCACUGUUUGAUGCAUAUAACCUCUGGCUACAUUUACGUUUGACUCAUUAAAAGGAAAACCUUACUGUACCUGAUACUUCCUUAACUAGAAUUAAUCUUUUACAUGGGAAAGAUCAAUAAUAUAAUCACUAAUGUUAUCUUCACACACACUUUUAAUUUUAAUUCUCUCUUUUUAACUCUUUCACCUGAUAUACGAAGUCUCUCUUCCAAAGAGUGCAGUGGCUCAUUUCACUUCUUGUUGUGUUAAUUCUUGCUCAGAUUCUAUAUGCGGUUCUAGUGUAGCAUCUCCAUUGUCAUGUUUAUUUUUCAUGAGAGUGGAUCUUAUAAUCCCAUCUAUAUCUCUUGGUUUCAUGUAUUCCAAUGAAUUUGGCCAUCUUCAUAGUGUUAAUGGUUCUUUCUUGUGAUUUCUUCUGGCAUUUAUGCAUACAGUUGCUUUUUAAGUCACAAUAGUUUCCUCAUGUGUCCAAGAAGAGCUAAAUUUGAUUCACUGAAUAACAUUGGCAAACCAGGACUUUUAUGGUACUUGCCAGGACAGGGUUGAUAUGCAUUUUUGAAAUUAAAAAGUGUGAUCCAAAUUCCAUGAAGUUGCUUUUGGCUUAGCUAAAGAUUUGCUUUUUUAACUUCUCCAAUCAUUUAAAAGUGGUAUAUCAUAUAUUCUAUGACUUUUGGCUUAGCUUAAAUUGAACUUAUAUUUCAUUCCCUCCUAAGUAGACUUAGAAUUAGAACUUGGUUUAAUAAAUUGUUUGAUUAUGAGUUAUUUGCUCUGCCAUAUGGAUGUUUUGAGUUCUGCUUUUUUUUUACUCAACAUUCUCAUGAAAGAAGGAUGCUUUUUUUUUAGCUGUCCUUUUUAAUUUUACUGAUUAUCAUACUAAUGAGAGAAAAGGACACGAGGUAUUAGUUUAAAAAGUUAAAUACAAGUUUUCAGCUUUGACAUAAUUUUGUCUGUUGAUGCAGUUUUAGGUAAGGUUAAGGACUUCCUAGAAGUGAUGUCGGACGCAAAUAAACGACUAGAACUUGAUGAGAAGUUCAAAAUUUCUUCUGUAUAUAUUUGGAAUAUUCAUCUUUGUUUUGUCCAACAGCAUUUUUGGGGCUGCUGGUGAGGUUUACUCUGCUUCAGCCUUCAACUUGAUAAAAACUUGAGAUCACACUCCCAGAGCAAAGAGAUUACUGAUGCUGAUAUCUUAAACUGGGAAAACAAUAAAGUGAAGAAAGCCUGAAGAACUUCUGAAAUGGAUAGUUUCAAGGUAAAUUAAGCAUAGAUUGACCAGUUUAUGGGUUAAAAUAAUUGUCAGUCUUAAGGCAUUUGUCAAGCACGUGAUAUGACAAUUCAAUCACCACCUCUCCUGUCACCCUGUUCGAUUCAUGUAUUUUUUUAUUCAUUCUAUGCCAUUUAAUUUUUCUUAAAAUUGCUUCACAGGUUACCUAAUAAUUAUACAGGCAUUGUUUUUGCAACCAAGUGUUGGUUAGUGAAUCGAGGAAAAAAAAGAGCUCAACGAUGAGGAUGGUGUACAUGAUUCAAUCUACAAGCUUAAAGGAUUAUGGUCUUGAAAUGUAGUUUACUGUGAUAAUGCAGUUCAUCCUUGGACAUACAUAUGUGCUGUUCUGUGAACUUUCUAAACUCUUCUAGAGGUGAAAACAUACGGCAAUGCUCCAGAUGGCAAGAUUUAUCAGAAUAGAUGCAAAUUACAGAUGUUUGACUAGUUUCGUGUCCUCUAAUAGUGUCCAUACUUUCCACCAUUCUUCAUGCAAUGGCAAUGCUCUAGAGGAGUUACCAAUAGGAUUGGUUAGUGAAUCUAAUUAUCCUUCUGGUAAGACAAGGUAGCAUGCGCAUGGUAAUUGGAUAAUCCAAUUUGUUUUUGUCUUGCAUGAAGAAUUUCAAUCAUGAGGAGGUUUGUUUGUUGUCAAUUGUGAUUGCUCUGAAAUUCAAAGUAAUUUUCUAACAAGUCUUUUUUUGACAAGUCUUAUUCACUUUAGUUAUUGCUACUUGUUGAGGCUGGUCUAGUUCCGCAGGUGACCGGUACUUAUAGGGCUGAGUGCUAGGGUUGGAGCAACUCAGAAUCUGGACUUUAGUAUUUCUAACAAGGCUCUCACAAUUUAAUUGAGAAACAAAUUUGGGCUCAUGUGUGUAAAUAGUAUUUCAGUUUUAGAGGGAAGAUAAAGGAGUAAUUUGGAGUAUGAACUGUGUAGUGAUAACUUAAUGAGCAUGUAAGUUAUAUAAGUUGAGGUACAGUUUUGGUUCAUUUGAAGAGCUUUAUAAUUUUAUUUGCCUCGAAUUGUUAAGCGUAAGGCUCCGUACAAUGCACAAUUUGAGUCAUCUCAAUUCAAACUUGGUUUUCUUGUUUUAAGUUAGAGUAACAUAUUAUUUUUCUCAAUGAUUUGACUUUGUUAUGUUAAACUAACUUUGUUAUUCCUCUUUUAGAUUUAUAGUCUUGGUGAAAUGCUUAUGCUUUACAGGAAGAGUACAAUUUUGAGUGUAUGAGUAGCAUUAUGAGUGGGGUAUACAAAGAGAAGAGAAAUGUGGGUGAGUAUGUCUCUUUAUGAGAAUAUAUGUUUAGAGUAUUUGCUCUGCCACUAGAGAGAUUGAGAGCUCUCAAAAGCUGUGGUUCAAAGUUAGAGAGGAGUCUAGGCCAAACAUAUUAUUAUAGAAGUUCUUAAAAAUGAGAAGGAGCUUAAUAAUUACCCCAAAAAGGAGAUUGAAGAAAAUUCCAACAGAAAAUUAGAGAGGAGCCUAGGCCAAACACAUUCCCUUUUAUUUAUUUUUUUUUUAUUAUAAGUAUGAUUUACUUACAUACUUAUAUGAUAAUACCAACAGAAAAUUUUAUUAAGAUAAUAUUUGAUAAUUAGUCAAAUAUUUUAAAAAAUAAUUAUUCAGUAAUAAUAUAAUUUUUUAUACUAUAAUAAUUUAUUAUAUUAUUGGAGUAUAAUGAGUUAAAUAUGUUUUUCAUCUCUAUAAAAUUAGCUAAUUUUGAAUUUCGUCCGUAUAAUAAAAAAUUACAUGUUUUCAUAUCUACAAAAAAUGUUGUUUUGUUUUUAGUCUUUUUUUUUUUGAAGCAUUGUUUUUAGUCCUUAAUGGACAAAGUUUUGACAUUUUUUUAACAUAAUAUGAACUUACAUAGCUUUAACAUAAUAUAGACACAUUUCGAACAUAAAAAGUUAUAUCAUUAACUUUAAAAUAAACAUAAAUUAAUCGUAAGGGACUAAAAACAAAACAUUUUUUUUUAGGAAUGAAAACAUGUGAUUUUAUUUUAAAUGGACAAAAAUUAAAAUUUCGUAGUUUAACAACAAAAAAAUGUAUUUAACUCUAUUUUUUUAGAAUAUCAUUCAUUCAAAAUUAAACAUUGUUCAAGAAUAUGUUGUCAAACAAUUUUUUUACAAAGUUGUCCCCAACUCCUUGAGCUUUAUGGUUCUGAUGGAUGUCAUGUUUAACCUUAUUGGCAUUGCAUGUAGAUUAGUAAUUGAAGAAAUAACUGAAGCAGUAGAGGAUGAGUCUUCUAGAGACAACAAAGCUCUUUGGAAAAAUCACUGGUUCCACAUAUUCUAUAUCUGAUGUUUUUUAGGUCCCCAACGUAUCUUUUAUACCCAAAAAAAAUCUAAUUUUGUCCUUGAUAAAAACUUCGGUUCGCAAAAACUUAUGUUUUUUCUAGUUCAAACUCAGGAAAAAUUCGAUUAACAUUUCUAUAUUUUUGACACAUACAUGUUCAAAAAUCCACUAACCUGUAAACUUCCUACGGACUAAACUAGCAUUGAUGAACUGCAUCCCAAUGUGUUGUGCCUUUCCACACCCCCUCUCCACCAUCGUCUUACGAAUCUCAUUAACAUUAACUUCUGUCUCGAUAAACAAUUCAUUAUAGCUAACAAAUUCAUUUUUCAAAUCAAAAUCAGUCGUAAUAAAUUAUAUGUCAAAAGCUCAGAAGGAAAUACCAAAUUUCCAGCUUCUUCGCUCUCUCUGCACAUCGUAAACACAAUGAUACCUGCAGAGUCAUUCGCCAUUUGUAGGGAUCCCCGAGUAAAGCUUUGUAAUUUGGUAAUUUAUGGUUGUCAUGCCAAAAACUUUGUAAUUUUCUAUGAAAAAAAGCUUGAACCACAAUCCCAAAACCUUAUUCUAAAAAAACAACAAAUUAAGAACAUCAAUAGAACAAUUACAUGACAAUAGUGAAGGUUCAUGUCCAGUGUAGAAACAUAUCUCCUAUUUCGUCUCGAAUGUCCACCAAAUGAAAUGAAGAUAAAAUCGCAAACUUUAGACUCUCUUUCCACCUUCUCCAUUUGGCUUUUGAUGAAAUUUGAAUCAAUAAGACGAUUUUCUUCUAUGAGUAUAAUUUCCUCCGGUAGAAAGUCAUAACGAGUAAUCAGGACGUCAUAGAAACAUUCGGCAUCAAACCAUGGGAAGUCCAGUGACGCUCUCUCGUCAUCGAGGUAUCUAAGACCCACUAUUACUGCCCCUUUUGAAAGGGCAUACAUUAGGCUUGUGAAAACCUCUCAAUUUGAAGAUGAAGAUAUAUUCAACAAUUUUUUUAUCGAAAGAUAAGUGCAUGUCACAAAAAGACCUAUCAGAAGAAUCAAUUACUUUACUUCAAAAUUUACCAUUUUUCUAAGAACAAUGUUUUCGGUUCAGCUCUUUCUGUUGAGUAUCAAGUUUGAGACAUUGAAAAUAUAUGUGAAAAUGUGCAUCCAAGACAUAAAUUAAACGGGAACCACAUUAAUCAACCAAACGUUCAAGACUCUCGAUUGAAAGGAGAAUAGUAAAAUCAAAUAUCAAAUUCAUACACUCCAAACCAUCAACAAAUUCCAUCUGUCAAGAAUGCAAGAAAAACAAAACAUCAUUCACAUGAAAAUGUAAAAAACCGGAUAGAAAAUCCAUGCAAUUGAUUAUUCAAUGCAUACUCGAGAAUUAAUACAGAAAAAUACAUAUGGUAGUAACCAUAUUCAUAUAUAUAUAUAUAUAUCUAAAAGCUAAGAAAAUACAUAUCCACUAAGUGCAAAAUAACCUACCUCUAUCAUUGUGUAUUACCCUACAUAAUAAUACAUCCAUACGCGGAAAAUAAAACACUAAACAAAUAUUUGUUAAAUAUGAAAAACAACAAUAGGACAAAUAUUUAUUUUUUAUAUACAUAAAUAAAUAAGAGACAAAUAUUUACUAUUGAUAAAUGCAAAAAAAUAAGAAACAAAUCUUUGCCAUCAAUAUAUAAUUUUUUUUCUUUCAGAGAUUCCAUAAAGGUUCUACUAUUUUUCUUGUGGAAAAGAACGGCGUGUUUAUGAGGUUGAUGAAAGAACGGUUCUACCACAAAUUUAUGUGCAUUAUCAUCACUACAAGAGGACAGUCCGACGUUUCCACAUGUUUUUUGUCAAGAGAUUGCAAAUGAAAUUCAACUUACAUUUUAUUCUUCUUCGAUGACAAUAACAAAAUGUUUCGAUCAAUGGCUUCUUGGACGGACAAUCUGGACAUAAGGUCGCCGUCGAAGAGAUGGGCGGUGAGGAGAGGUGGGUGGGAGUACGUAGAGGAAGGGAAAAAACAUUCCCUUAAAUCGUCUAAAAUAACACUAGGUAGACCGACGGUGAACCUAAAAUAAAAGGGUUUUACUCUAAUAUAAAAUAUACAUCAGUUCUCUAAUGUGCUUACUUGGCACUCUUGCAUUUUAUAGCUUUAGUGAUGUUCUACAAAUGGUUGUUUAUUUUUUCAUAAGGUGUUGAUUGCUAUUUUUCUAAGAAUUAUUUUCCGCACUCUUGAUCUUUAUUUGUUUCGCUAGGGUUGUCUAAAUUAUCUAAGAUUUUUUUUCGUUUAAAUUACUUUAAUCUAUUUCAUGUCAAAAUAUUAUUAGGUGACCUGGAGUGAUUUUAUCUGAACUUGGCCCUCCUGGAGGUUAUAAUUGCUGCAAUGUUUCUCGUAUAAAAACCGAUAACAUGGUCUCACACCACAUUCAAUGAAGACGAGCCGUUUUUUUUUUUUGACAAAAACAAAUUCAACUCAUUUCAUUAAUCAAAAUACUUUCAAUACUAGGAGGAAUCAAAUCUAAGAUACAACGACUAGACCAAGAAUAGGCCGCCCUAGCUAUAGUGUGAGCAACUCUAUUCGCUUGACGCUUAAUAAACUUCACCUCAAAGUUGGGAUAAUUCACUAACAAAGAUUUAAUACUAGAAAUUAACGUACAAAACUCUGAAGUUCCAACACAAUUGGAGGAAAUUGCAUCAACAACAACCUUCAAAUCACUUUCAAAACAAACAUUGAAGACACCUCUUUGAAUCAUUUCAUUCAUUGCUUCCUUGAUUGCCAUAGCUUCUCCUUCAAAUGUGUUGAGUCUUUGAUGAAUAAUAUUAGAGCCUGGCCUGCUAGUAUAAAUCUUCCACGAUAAUCAUGUAUGCACCAACCCCAUCCAGUUGCGCCGACAUUGUUGAAAAAGCUAGCGUCAACGUUACAUUUAAGCCGAUUGUGGACUGGUGGCUGCCAUUGCUCUGCUGUCUGUGUUGCUUGCUGGUUUUGUUGUUGGUUUCGGGUACUGUUCUCAGCCUUCCAUUCAUUCCAAUAGUGCAACGCUUGCAUACCAACUUGUCUAGCAUUCAGCCUUUUAUUAUUCCAUACCAAGUUAUUUCUAUUGUUCCACACACACCAUAAAAGUGUAGCCAUUUUUCCUACUGUCAUUGCAUCCUCCUUAUAACAGAUGUCUAGGAACAACUCUUGGAUAUUUGCAAAUUGAUGGAUUCUAGAUUGUAUCAUGUGUUCUAAACCCAUCAUUUCCCAGGCUUCUCUAGCACUAUUACAUUCCAAAAAUAAAUGCCAUGCGUCCUCUUCAUCUUGUAAGCACAUGGGACACUCUAAAGGACAUUGCACAUAGUGCCCUGUUAGACGGGUUCGGGUUGGUAAGCAAUGAAAAGUUGAAAACCAACAUUUGUGUUAAUUAUAUGGAAAUGAAAUUCAACGCACUUUAAUUGACACUUAGAACAUAACAUUCACAUAUUAACAACAAAUUACAUUUGUAAUUAUUUUCAUAUUUUAUUUUUGCAACACAAUUUUCACCUCUUAGACUGUAGCCACAGAUGGAGCAUUCAUUUUUUUUUUUUUGAAAACUUGGUACCAACCCCAAAUGGGUCCACAGAUGGAGUAUUCAUUAAGUUGUUUGUGUUAAAUAUGUUUGGAUCUCAACCCUAAAAGCUAGCACAAAGGGUGAAGUUGCCCUCACAUAUUUAUACACUUCACAUCCCGGGAACCUAAGCAAUGUGGGGCUUCAAACAAACUCCGACAACACAAACAACAUAUUCAACAGUUUGAACAUGCCACAACUUGAACACCUAACUACUUUCAUAGCAAGUGCAAGAAGAGGCUAAAGCUGAAAGAUAUAGAAAAUUAGAAACUAUGAAAAUGAGAACCUCGGUUCCCAAGGAGCACCAAAGAAAGGAGUGAACGGAGAGAAUAAAAAGAACCUCAACACAUGCUGAAAGAUAUAAAGAACCACGCUGAGGAUAUUACAUUAUAACUCAUUGACAAUUCCUUGACACAUCAAAAUCAAAGGUAGAUAUGCGAAAACAUCAGAUAAGCAUUUUAAUGGCUUGCAGGCCGCGUGGCUUCCCUUAGAAACUAUAAAGCAGAAUGAAGUAGAAUAUUUACCUCUUAAGCACGAGGCAACACUUCUGUUGGCCAUGUACGAAUAUACAAGUAACCUUUUCGUUGGUGUCAUACAGAAGCCACAUGAUCGGAGGAGAUUUUUAUUUACAACCAUACUGAUCAUCUCAACUUCAGUCUGAAACUGAAGCUCCCCACCAAAUGUGCGCUCCUCUUUAAAUCUUUUGACACCAACCAAUGAGCCAUCUGCAAGGCGUCCUUUGCACACCUUACCAAAUCCUCCCCUUCCAAGAAUUUUCUUAUUGCUGAAACUAUCUGUUGCAAUUUGCAAUUCUCGCAAUGAAAGGCUGCCCAAGAUGGACUUCAGGAUCCUCUUCAGCAGUAAAUAUAUGCAAGUAAAUCAAAGCUAUAUAUAUGCUGCCAAAAUUUAUAUGCUGAUCUCCGUGACUUGAUGCACACAAACACAUCUUAAAAAGCUAUAUAUAUGCUGCCAAAAUUUGAUCCAAAUUUUUUCAUAAUCAAAUGAAUUUGAUGCCAUGUAAAUUAGUGGGUAUACUUUCUGUAUCGAAUUGAGGACCUAAGAUAUGUGGCUGAAAUUAGAGAACCAAUGUAUGUUUAUGAAGAAGAAAUAAUUAUGUUAUGUAGUGUACUAGUUUGAACUUGAGAAGCCGAAAAACUAAGAUUUUUCAAUAAGCUUUGGAGCGUUUGACUCUAUUAGUUUGAACUUUUGAAUCAUGUCUCUAUAACCCAAACCUGUCAACUAGUAUGUUGCUACACUCCUUUUGGUUUGUACAAUAAUCCAAUUAUUUUCAGAACCAGAUCAGCUAAUUCAAUAAAAAAAACUACCAGCAAAAAAUUGAACAUGGCAUUGAGACUCGAACAACAACGGAUAGGGAUACAAGCAACACAAGCAACGACACAAUGAAGGGAUAAGCCUAUGAGGAAAAAAUGAAUGCUAACUUACCCCGUCUUCCACACUUAAGAAUGCCAACUAGCUCGUUAUGUUGGCAGUAACACACUCCAUUAAUUUUGCGCAAUAAUCCAACUCAACCUCCCCUUCUCUAAUGAAAUGAAAUGCAAGAUCAACUGAUAAACUAAUAGGUCACCUGGUAUGGAUAUGUUCGUGACUGUCAUGAUAUGGACUUACUGUCAUACUACCAAAGGAUGUGAAACCAAAACAGAGAACUCGUAUCAUCACACCAAUAUUAUAAACUUAUAUUUUUGCUUCGGGCUAUUAACAGAAAGAAGCUAGUUUCAAUUUUGGGUAUGGACAAUCACACCAAUGACAGGAGGAGACUCAGAUCAGUUUUUCGGCUUCUCAGAACUAUUGAACAAUUGAUCAGUUCAAUAUAUAAAACAUCCUAAUAAUUAAAUGGGUGGGAUUUCUCAUUAAAAAUCAAUUAGUCAAAUUCAACUGGUUUUUUUCUUUCUGUUCAUUGACGUCUCUAAUUUAUUUUUAGAUCGUACUGAAAUUGCAGUCCAACUCCAACCUAUAAAUAAUAGAAAAUAGAAGAUGGCCUAGCUAAAAUAAUAGUAAAGAAGCACUUGUUUGCUUAUUUAUAUAGCUUAAUAUAACUUAAAGAAGAGGCAACAUUUCAACUUCAUCCGUCAUCAAAUCAGUAGAAAAACUUGUUAUCUAUCAGACAUGGAUGGCAUUCCGCCAAAUGAGACAUUUAGGAAAGCUGAUGGUCAGACAUGAUUCAUACAUGGAAACAGGCAGUUAAUUAUACAUAAUUAAAAUAUGAAACUUAAUUUAUCUCGUAGUUUGUUGGAUGCAAACAUAAAUAAACAUGAAACAAAGUAUGGCGAUAAAUAAAAAGAACAAGAUGGAUUAGAGAAACAACAUUGUAUCUUUGUCUCCCAGCAUAAGAUCAACACACAAAAGGAGCACAAGCGUGGUUGAGGUGGCUGCAACUGAGCCUAGGUGGUGUUUCUCCUCCGAGUUUGACCAUAGCCUUUUGAGCAAGCUCCAAGUUAGUAACUGGACCACCACGAGUCUCUUCAAAUACAUUGAGUAUGGAAUUGGUAAAAGGCCCAUAUGAUGUGUGCUUGUAGCCGGUUGGUGGGGGGAAGACUACUUCUGAUACAUUAUUAAUGUUCCGGAAGAUUGAGGAUAUCUACA